rnacentral:misc_RNA from 1 species
GCAAACUUGGUCAUUUAGAGGAAGUAAAAGUCGUAACAAGGUCUCCGUUGGUGAACCAGCGGAGGGAUCAUUACAGAGUUGCAAAACUCCCAAACCCUUUGUUGACCAUACCAGUUGUGUUGCUUCGGCAGGCGGCCCCAGGGCGGGGCCUCUAGCCUUUCAGGUGCCUGCCGGAGGAUUUUUUAAACUAUGUUAUAUUUGCUGUCUGAGUAAACAAAAAAAUGAAUCAAAACUUUCAACAACGGAUCUCUUGGUUCUGGCAUCGAUGAAGAACGCAGC